ACAGCCUUGCUCCCUCUGCUCAGGAUGUUUUGGAGUCACGCCUGCAAGCAGCCCACUUCGAGCCUAUGGUGCCAUUUCCCCUCCUCUCUCCCGAAAAUGAUAUGGGAAGAAAAUGAAGAGACGAAGAUUAUGUCCUAGAAAUCUUGUCACACGGGAAUGGACUCAACAGACCCUCCUUCCUUUAUCUACCAGAUGUUGUCCUUGUGGUUGCCUCGUUCUUCUAGAACCCAUGUCACGAUGCAUCAAGUGUCACUUGAAAGAGAAGAUGAAACUGCAUUUGAAAUGGCAUUGAGAUUCAUCCCUGGACCCCAGGACGUGACAGACAGUUACCCCACACCACCACAUAUGACAUGGCUGUGAGACUCAUCCUGAAACCACAGGAAGUGACAGAGAGUGACCCCAGACUCCCACAUAUAAGUGAAUUAUGAAUUGUACACUUAUGCAUGACUGAAGCAGAUAUGUUCUAGCAUUUUUUUUGUUUCCAUGACGCCUUUCCAAGAGGGGCCUUUCCUAGUUGAGUGCUUUGUGGUGUCUAGUUUAUCAGAGAGAUUUCCUUCCUUCCUUCCUUCCUUCCUUCCUUCCUUCCUUCCUUCCUUCCUUCCUUCCUUCCUUCCUUCCUUCCUUUUUUUCCUCCCUUUCUCCCUUUCUCUCUCUCUGUCUGUCUUUCACUCUCACUCUCUAUCUCUUGCCUUGAGCACAUAGUCUCCACAAUCCUUCUACCUCGGCUCUAGAGUAUUUAAACUAUAGUCAUGUAUAUAUCACCAUGCUAGGCCACGAAGGAGAUUUUGAUUAAACAACAACAGCCUCAAUAAGAGAGGAAGCCAAGCAGAAAAAGCAAUUUGGCUUUGUAGCCUGACUACUGAGGCACACAGUUUCCCGUUUGGAAGUUGUGCCUGUUCCUCAUUGUUUCAGUGACGUUAGACUUCUGAAUUUGGACCCCUUGUUUUCAAAUUUCCAAGGAUGGCAGAUAGCAUGGGGGGCAGCUCCAAUGUAACAUCCUAAAUUCAAUAAACACAGUUAUAUUU